rnacentral:rRNA from 1 species
GAUGAACGCUGGCGGCGUGCCUAAUACAUGCAAGUCGAGCGAAUGGAUUAAGAGCUUGCUCUUAUGAAGUUAGCGGCGGACGGGUGAGUAACACGUGGGUAACCUGCCCAUAAGACUGGGAUAACUCCGGGAAACCGGGGCUAAUACCGGAUAACAUUUUGAACCGCAUGUUUCGAAAUUGAAAGGCGGCUUAGGCAGUCACUUAUGGAUGGACCCGCGUCGCAUUAGCUAGUUGGUGAGGUAACGGCUCACCAAGGCAACGAUGCGUAGCCGACCUGAGAGGGUGAUCGGCCACACUGGGACUGAGACACGGCCCAGACUCCUACGGGAGGCAGCAGUAGGGAAUCUUCCGCAAUGGACGAAAGUCUGACCGAGCAACGCCGCGUGAGUGAUGAAGGCUUUCGGGUCGUAAAACUCUGUUGUUAGGGAAGAACAAGUGCUAGUUGAAUAAGCUGGCACCUUGACGGUACCUAACCAGAAAGCCACGGCUAACUACGUGCCAGCCGCCGCGGUAA